UACAGAGGGUGCAAGCGUUAAUCGGAAUUACUGGGCGUAAAGCGUGCGUAGACGGUUACAUAAGUCGGGUGUGAAAGCCCCGGGCUCAACCUGGGAAUUGCAUUCGAGACUGCGUAGCUAGGGUGCGGAAGAGGGAAGCGGAAUUCCUGGUGUAGCGGUGAAAUGCGUAGAUAUCAGGAGGAACACCUGUGGUGUAGACAGCUUACUGGACCACUUCUGACGCUGAGACACGAAAGCGUGGGUAGCAAACAGG
rnacentral:rRNA from 1 species